GAUGAACGCUAGCGGCAGGCCUAAUACAUGCAAGUCGGACGGGAUUGAGGAGCUUGCUCUUCAUGAGAGUGGCGCACGGGUGCGUAACACGUAUGUAACCUACCUUGUUCAGGGGGAUAGCCUCUCGAAAGAGAGAUUAAGACCGCAUAAAAUCACAGUGCAGCAUUGCAUAAUGAUCAAAUAUUUAUAGGAACAAGAUGGGCAUGCGGAACAUUAGCUAGUUGGAGUGGUAACGGCACACCAAGGCGACGAUGUUUAGGGGAUCUGAGAGGAUGACCCCCCACACUGGUACUGAGACACGGACCAGACUCCUACGGGAGGCAGCAGUAAGGAAUAUUGGUCAAUGGGCGGAAGCCUGAACCAGCCAUGCCGCGUGCAGGAAGACGGCCCUACGGGUUGUAAACUGCUUUUGCAGGGGAAUAAACCCCGGUAUGUAUACCGGGCUGAAUGUACCUUGAGAAUAAGGAUCGGCUAACUCCGUGCCAGCAGCCGCCGUAACAC
rnacentral:rRNA from 1 species